UACGGAGGGGGCUAGCGUUGUUCGGAAUUACUGGGCGUAAAGGGCGCGUAGGCGGCCUGUUAAGUCGAACGUGAAAUCCCCGGGCUCAACCCGGGAACUGCGUCCGAUACUGGCAGGCUUGAAUUCGGGAGAGGGAUGCGGAAUUCCAGGUGUAGCGGUGAAAUGCGUAGAUAUCUGGAGGAACACCGGUGGCGAAGGCGGCAUCCUGGACCGAGAUUGACGCUGAGGCGCGAAAGCCAGGGGGAGCAAACGGG
rnacentral:rRNA from 1 species